GGAACAGAGAGUAUGAAUCACUUUUUUUGUGAAUGCCCUGUGUCAAAAUCAGUAUGGAAGGAAUUACCAUGUAAUGUUUUGGUGCACGAAAGACAGUUGGAGUUUGCAGAGUGGCUUACCGGAGUUUUUGCGAAGAACUCGGAAUCUCAGUGUAGGAUAUUUUGCUGUGCAUUAUGGGCUAUAUGGGGAGACAGAAAUAACAUAGUGCAUAAUAAAGUUAGCAAAUCUGGAAAAGAAAUAGGCCAAUUCGUUAGUAGCUACAUAACAGAGUUAGACGGGAUAGGAAAAAGUAAAGCACAAUCAUAUAAAUUGACAAGCAAAUGGAAUAAGCCACCUGACCAGAUUGUGAAGAUAAACUUUGAUGCAGCAUAUGAUGGAAAGAGUAAGCAAUCGACUGCAGGGAUUGUGGCUAGAAACAACGAAGGCAAGGUUUUGCUCUCAUGCUCGAUGAUAUAUCAAUAGGUGGCAUCUCCUUUUGCGGCCGAGGCGCUCGCGAGCUAGAAAGCGAUCAAAAUUGGUAAAGAAAUGAAAUGGAGAAAAAUCAUUAUUGAAGGAGAUUCAUUAUCGAUAAUAAAGAAAUGCAGAUCUAAUAUCCCAGAUAAAUCACAGGUAUGUGCCUACAUCAGUGAUAUUCUUAAGCUACAAUCAAGAUUCCAGGAAUGCAGAUUUGAACAUGUUCCAAGAGCAGUUAACAGUCUUGCGCAUACGAUAGCAAAAGCAACGCUGAGGGAUAAAAGAAUAAUAUACCUGGUUGAGGGAGUCCUUGAAUAUGCAGAAGAUCAGAGGGAAAGGGAUUGAGUGGGAGAACCGGAAUGAAUGAAAGGGAUGAAAAUGAAAUGGGUAAAUCGAGCGGAGGCAGGUAAAGCAAAGACAGAAAAUGGGGUUUCCUCGGGAGUAUGAUUUCGUCUUGAAGAAGAUAUGGCAUGUGAAGGGACAAGACGAUUGAAAGUUAUGGUGCUGAUUAGGAAAGAUUGUACAGCAGCAUUAAUGGCUUCCAG
rnacentral:lncRNA from 1 species